UACAGCCACAUCAUGUUGAAACACUUGUUCACAUAUGAUCAUUAAAGUUAAGCAACAUUGAGCCUGGUCAGUACCUAGAUGGGUGACCACUUGGGAAUACCAGGUGCUGUAAG
rnacentral:rRNA from 1 species